UCCGUUUGUAACUGUAAAACUACAAGCGGUGUAAUUUGAUACUGUUAAGAAUUUGAAAAGAUCGCACAAAAAGUAAAUUUUUCUUAAGAAUAGUAGACUGGUAGUCUUGUAAGAAAUGACCCAAGGAGAAACUCAAGCGAACAAGCACCUGGAAAACAAAGAAGAAAUAAAUAUGGUGAAAGUCGGGUUGAAACUAAAGAACAAACUUACAAGGCAAAAAAAUAAUUUUCUGCAAAGAAGAAAUUUCAAAAGGUUGCAUAAGAAGUCAUUUUACUCUAAAAAGGUCAGAGAUUCCGACUUUAGUCGCACAACGUGUACAUAAGUUGACAGAAAAGUGGAAAUUUCUACCCCCAUUCCCACAAGGUUAUAUUGUUGAUUUCGGCUGUUUAGCUGUUCGCGUGAGACCAACUUGUUAAAUUCGCCUUGGUGUCAACCCAGUAAAUUUGACACGAGUAUGAAAAUUUUCAGUGCGUGAACAGCAAAAUGGCAUCACAAGAUUCACUUGUAAUGAACCAAAGUUCCAACGUUCGGAAAAUUAGAACGAUGCGGACAGGGAGUUGGUGAAGAAGACACUCAACAGAAAUAUUUUAUAAAGCACUGUUACACAUUUUAUCGGAAAUUUAAUCCAAGAACAUAUUUUUUAAUGCAAAAAAAAUAAAUUAUUUUCUUUUAUAAAAUUGGUGAGA